UGAGGAAUAUUGGUCAAUGGGCGGAAGCCUGAACCAGCCAUGCCGCGUGCAGGACGACGGCCCUACGGGUUGUAAACUGCUUUUCCGGGGGAAGAAUAAGGGCGACGUGUCGCCCGAUGCCGGUACCCCGGGAAUAAGGAUCGGCUAACUCCGUGCCAGCAGCCGCGGUAAUACGGAGGAUCCGAGCGUUAUCCGGAUUUACUGGGUUUAAAGGGUGCGUAGGCGGACGCCUAAGUCAGCGGUGAAAUACGGGGGCUCAACCUUCGAACUGCGGUUGAUACUGUGCGUCUUGGAUUCGGUCGAGGCGGGCGGAAUGCGUGGUGUAGCGGUGAAAUGCUUAGAUAUCACGCAGAACGCCGAUUGCGAAGGCAGCUCGCCGGGCCGAUAUCGACGCUGAGGCACGAAAGCGUGGGGAUCGAACA
rnacentral:rRNA from 1 species